CUAGCCAGAUACACUUAUAGUUAAUAUGGCUUUAUAGCAAUGUUUGUAGCAGUAAUAACACAUGUUAGAUAAAAGUAGACCAUCAUAGUAUAAUUGUGAGGUGUUUCUUUUCUUAAAGCUGAAUAUCUCCUGCAUAUAGUAAUAGUAGCAUUGCUCACAAGAAUGAGCUUAUUAAGCUUGCAGUUGACCAUGAAUUAAGUGUAAGGCAACGAUGGGUAUUUGUAUUUAUUGGAGCUGCAGACACGUUAUAUUUGUAAAAAGGUGCAAUUAUUCAUUUUACUUAACAGUGGGUAAUCUUUCACAAUGACUUGCAGGUGGGCUCCUGGUGGCAUAUGGGUGAAAAGAAGAUAAAUUAUAGUUUUUGAAAAGUGGGUGCCCCAUAGGGGUGCCCACAUGGGUGCCCGAUAGGGUGCCCAUUAGAGGGCCCGAAGGAGCCCGCAAAGAAAAAUAAUCACGAAGUGGAACCGAGCGAAAUAUGUGCAGGUGUGCACCCACAUGCCUGCCCUGUGCCCACAUGCCUGCCCUGUGCCCACAUGCCUGCCCUGUGCCCACAUGCCUGCCCUGUGCCCACAUGCCUGCCCUGUGCCCACAUGCCUGCCCCGAAGGGGCAAUAAUUUAACGAAGUAGAACCGAGAAAUGGGUGCCCGAUAGGGUACCCAUAUGGGUGCCCCGCAGGGGUGCCCAUUGAGGCCCACGAAGUGUGGCCGAUAAUUUAGGCCAUAAAAUGGUGCUCGAAGUGAUGGGUGCCUGAAAUGGCUUAAACUUUUUGAAUCCCGAAGGGAUAUCCCCGAAGGGGAUUAGAGGGCCCGAAGGAGCCCGGUAAUAUUGGCCAAAAUAAAUCUCAAAGACCCUACCGCUAAUUUUGGCCUAGAUCACGAUAAUUUUGGCCAAAAUUGCCCUUCAGGGCAUUCGCACACGCGCGUAUAAAAGAUUGCGACUUAUAAUGUGCACCCCGAAGGGGUGCACAUAUGGGGCACCCUUUAGGGUGCCCCAUUAUAAUGGGUGCCCUUUAGGGCACCCAUAUGCACCCCGAAGGGGUGCAUUAUAGGAGCCGGGAACGAGCCGAAGGCGAGUGGACGUGCGACCACUAAAAAGAAAAAAGAAAUCGCGACCUAUAAUGGGUGCCCCUGUGGGGCACCCAUAUGCAUGCCCCCACAGGGGGCAUGCAUUAAUGGGCUGGGUGCCCUACCCAGCCCAUAUGGGCCCACACUUCGUGGGGCCCAUAACGCCCUUCGGGCUUCAAAAAUAAAAAUAAAAUCACAUGUGGGUGAACAUGGGGCACCCAUGUGACCAUGCCAGCAACCAAGCCAAAAUUACUUUAGGCCAAAAUUAACGUGAAGUAGGUCAAUAUGUGCGGCUAUGUGUUGACUCCUGUAUGCCCCUACCCCCACCUCCAACCUCCUCCCCCACUGAAAUGUGU
rnacentral:rRNA from 1 species